CCUACGGGUGGCAGCAGUGAGGAAUAUUGGUCAAUGGCCGGAAGGCUGAACCAGCCAAGCCGCGUGAACGAGACGCCCUUCGGGGUGUAAAGUUCUGUCAGUGGGGACGAAAGAUGACGGUACCCACAGAGGAAGCACCGGCUAACUCCGUGCCAGCAGCCGCGGUAAUACGGAGGGUGCAAGCGUUGUCCGGAAUCAUUGGGCGUAAAGAGUUCGUAGGCGGUAUGUUAAGUCUGGUGUUAAAUGCAGAAGCUCAACUUCUGUUCGGCACUGGAUACUGGCAAACUAGAAUGCGGUAGAGGUAAAGGGAAUUCCUGGUGUAGCGGUGAAAUGCUUAGAUAUCAGGAGGAACAUCGGUGGCGUAAGCGCUUUACUGGGCCGUAAUUGACGCUGAGGAACGAAAGCCAGGGUAGCAAAUGGGAUUAGAUACCCUUGUAGUC
rnacentral:rRNA from 1 species